GCCUCGCUAGUGCAGUGGUUAGCGCGCGCUCAUGGAAAGAGUGAGACCCGAGUUCGAAUCCCGCUCGACGCU